CCUAUCUGUACAGAUCAUGUAAGAAUUUAAUAGACGGCCUACGUAUUUAUUUUUAUGGAUACUAUGAUCAUCUGGCCAAUUCUACAAGACAAGCAACCAGAAUGAUUCCAGGAUUCUAGUGUUCCCUCGAAAAUGUAUUUCUCACUGUCAUGGUAAAAAGUGUGUCUUCUGGAAUCUUGUAAUUUGAGUAAACAGGACUUGAAAGAUAACAUUUCAAUCUCCCUAAGUCUCUGGAUACUUUCUUCCACAAUAAACUAAGGUAAUUCUGGCAUUUCAACUUUAUUUA
rnacentral:lncRNA from 1 species